GCUGGUGUGGAGCAGCUGCUCCAGCUUUUAGACUAUGGACUGUGAAGCUUGGAUGCUUCAUGCUUGAACAGCCAGAUGAUAAACAAGUGUAGAGAUUUUACUCUGGUCAAAUCUUAAUGUAUAAUUUUGUUUCUGUUACAGCCAGAAGUGCUUAGAAACUCCUGAGUAUCCUGCCUGAGACCCAAGUGAUGUUUUCCACGUCAUGUCAGUGGGAGAAGACGCAGCAGAUCAGAAUUGGAGUCCAGCUGGGGAUCUGAAGGCAGCUACAGUGGGUCUGGAGAAUGGUGCUUUCCCAGAUGAAUUGUACCAUGGAUGUCUACACUGAUGCUUGCAUGGAGGUUAUGUAUUACAUUGGACAAGCUGGAUCCCAGCUCUCCUGACACCAUCACAUGUAACAGAGGUCUCAACUACCCAGGGCCAUGAUCAGGGCAAGAGCAAGGUAAGGAAAUGUUUCUUCUUUUUUUG